rnacentral:rRNA from 1 species
UACGUAGGUGACAAGCGUUGUCCGGAUUUACUGGGCGUAAAGAGCGCGCAGGCGGUCGAUCAAGUCGAGUGUGAAAGCCCCCGGCUCAACUGGGGAGGGUCAUUCGAUACUGAUCGACUCGAAGGCAGGAGAGGGUAGUGGAAUUCCCGGUGUAGUGGUGAAAUGCGUAGAGAUCGGGAGGAACACCAGUGGCGAAGGCGGCUCGCUGGGCCGGUCCUGACGCUGAGACGCGAAGGCGUGGGGAGCGAACGGG